CAGAUGCGGACAUGGCACUGCUUGACAAAAGCCAUGCUGUAGUAGGCAUCCUGUGUAUAAAGUAGAGGAAGAUGGGCAUGGAUGUUAGCUCAGGAUCGGUCUUCCUCAGCAAAAAGAGGAGGAUUGGCAGUAGUUAGCUCAGGGCUAAUCUUCCUCAAAAAAAAAAAAAAAGAAAAGAAAUAUUUUCCCAGAAGUACCCCUUCGAUAAUUGUAGAUACACAUGAAUGCACACACAUGCACAUGCACACACACAUCAACUGAAAAAAUAGCUGAUCUAGAGAAUUUAGGUUUCAAAAAUUAAAAAACAAAAUGAACAAACAAGUAUCAUCAGAAUAAUCUCAGUUUUCCAGUUCCCUUUGGAAUUGAAAAGGCUUGAAUGAGCAAAUGUUGGCAUUUCCAAAUGUCCACCACUGGCUUUUCCAAGGGGUUUGGCCUCUAAAGGUACAAGGCUUUGCAUCAUUCAUGACUGCCUUCCUGUGACAGAGACACCAGCAGUGGGUGUUCGGAGGCAUAACACAAGCCCCAACCCCUCCACUGGUGACAGCAUCCGGCUGUGACUCCUCCACCCCCACCCCCUGCUCUCUGGGCCAACAGCUGCUGCACCCCGGGAAAGAGGCAGAAGGCUCCGCAUGCAGCAGAUAACAGCCACCAGUGCGACUCAGACCACCCCCGGCCAAAACCACAGCUCCACCCCUUCUGCAAGCUCGGUGAGGGCAUCUGCAGUCCGUGUGAGUCGGCAUUUGUGUAUCAGACUGGUAAAAAGCUGCUCAGUCUCUCCUUUGAAGUAGGCACCCCUGGGCAGUGAACACUCAGAAGACAGUUGAUGCCAUUUGGGCUGAAUUUUUAUGUGACUUAAACCAUCAUGAGUGAGGAGGUACCAGCCUCCCAACACCCGUCCUGUCAGCGACACAAGGUAGAUUCGAUUUCCUCUAAUAAUGUGGAUAAUUACUAGCAUUUCAAAUUUAAUUAAGAAAGAUGCUCCUGGCUUUAUUUGUAUUGAGCUUCAUAUCUCUACUCAUCUAACAUCUAGGGAUUAACAAGGAAAGGAACUAUUUACACAAAAUCUUUAGGGCAUCCAAACAGCACAAUGCCUGGUUCUCUCUAGACACUGUUUAGACACCAAACCAGCCCCAGUCCACCUGCAAACACUCUGCUGCAUCACAGACUCUGUUGGGCAGGGUGCCCAGGGGCUACAGAUGCAAAGGUGAAUAUGGUGCUUCCCUGCCCAGAGCAGGUUGGGGGGUGGGUACUAGGCUCCAAGUGUAACGGACAUCCUCCCCACCAAGGGAGGAAGCAGGGAGAGCUUUUGGAUGAGGUGGCAUGAAGCUGGGCUCCAAAGGAGGGCAGGGUGGCAACCAGAUUGGGGUGGGGGUGAGGGGAAAUGGAUUCCAGGUAGAGGAAAAAUUCCCUGUAGAAACCUAGAAACCAUUGGCAACAUUUUAUCUGGCCCCUUAGUUUCCCAAAUAAUGAGAUGGAGCUUGUUUAGAAAAAAUGUAAGAAAUUUCAUCAACCUCAUGGCACCUGGGACAUCCCAUAUGAAUACUUGUGGCUGGCAUGAAUCUAAGCAUUUUAACCCUCAUAGGUAUGUUGUAGGUCCCAUGGUAUGAUUCUUAUCCAGUCGCCUCCCAACUUUGCCUCCCCACGUUCCCAUAAGAACCUACCUAACAAGAGGGGUCAGAGGGAGCUUCCUAAUGUUUACCUCCAAGGGAGAAUCCAUGAAGUUCCUGGCAUUCUAGUUUAUUUUGAGAUUCAGAGAUAAGAAGUCCCUGAAAUUCUGUCUGUUUGGGUGAUGGAAUGUGGGUUGACUGAGGAGGCAGAAUGGAGCAGAAGUAUAAUGUAGCAAUUAGCCAGACAACUGAUGGAAUAAAAGCCAAGCCAUUCUGUAAACAGAUGUCCAAGUGCAUUCCUGCUAGCAUCAAUAUCAGAUUUGGAGUUUGAGUUUAAAGAAAGAAAGGGGGGGGAGGCAAGGAGGGGCUAAACUAGAAGGGUGGGUUAAAAAAUGAAAAGCUGGGACAGCUAGAGAGGGACAAACCCAAAGGAGUCAGAUAAUGAUGGAGGAUGAAAGAGGGCAGAGAGGGGCAAGGAGGAGCCUUUGUGCCUGGUGGUGAUGAGGGUGCAGGAACUGGGGAGGGAAUUUGGCGAGCUGAGCUUUGGGCGUGAGUGUGAACAGAGAGCAGGGUAUGCACGUGGUAAUAUUAGUUGCAAACGAAAGUGAGGUGGAAGUUUGAUGCUGCAGAGAAAGAGCCUCAACAUCUGCCUUGGACUUCAAGUCUGCCCUGCCACCCCCAGCCUCAGUGUUCCCAGUCUAAAUAUAGAGAUGUAAUACUGAAGCCUCAAGGCCAAGCUAAGAACUGGAGAUUGUGAGUCCUCAUAACUGGGAGCAAUGUGAUUGUUGUUAGUGCAGGCCUGGGGUUUAUUAAAAGCACAGGUUCAGGAAUCAUCAGCACAGAGGGGAGCCGAAGCUCUUAAGGAGGACGCGGCCAGUCAGCACCUUGGAGAGCGCCUCUGGCAGGCAGUAGGUUGGGCAGGGAGAACCCAAGCUUCCUUUCAGGCGAUGGGAACGUGAAGGCAGAAAGCAGAGAAGGCUCCUUAGAGAAGCGCCCUGGUGACGUGAGGCAUAGAAAGGAAAGAGUGUGAGGCUGCAUGAGACGGGGAGAAGUAACCAGCUUGGGUUGACUCGCCUCCCCUGCAUCCACCAGCUUCCCUUCCUGGAUGCCUGGUGCCCAGCUCUCUCUGAGACCACAAGCCUGUGGCUGCCUUUUCUAGAGCCAUCCACUGUUCUCACAUGAUCAGGCCAGUGGAGCUGAGUUGCCACGAACUGAGCCAAUGCACAGGUCUCAUGGAUGAUUUCCAAACUUGGCACCAUCUUGGCAAAAAGAGGCUGGCAGAGAUAGAUUGGCAUGACUUGCUGGAAGCACCAGCUUAGAUCAGUGGUUGUAAAACUGAACCAAAAACCCUUGUUUGAAGAAAGAGCCCUCUGUGUCAGAAGGCCACCCUCUUUGACCAAAUGCCCCAUCCCAGGGGGCCACACCGCAGGAGGAGCCUGGUCAGCUGACUUAGCCAGGGUGAACAGGGAUGGUAUGCUCACAUCUCACUGCAAUAUAUGUGGUGGUUCCAGUGACCCCCGAGUUUUAGUCAUAGAAAUAGCUAACAAUUAACGAGCACCCACUGCACGCCAGCAUGCUCUCAAUGCUCUACAGAGACUAUCUUAUUUAAUGACCCAAUCAUGCCUGCAACGCCUGCAUCAUGGAGAGGUUAUCAUCCCCACCCCACAGAUGACAAAGCAGAAACACAGAGGGGCUAGGGAAACAAGAGUCAAUACACCUAUUUCAGCCACUCAGGGAUGAAGGACUGGCCAUGAUCACAGAGCUUGUGGAGCAUGGACUUCAGGCCCUCCCCAUGUCUCCAGCCUCCGUUGCUUCUUCCUGCGCCCAGAUAUAGUGGGGGGUGUUCCGUCAGGCCUCCUCAUAUUCCCCAUGAAGGUUCCAGGGAAGUGGUUUUCAUUCUCAAACAGGAGUCAGUGUGCUCUGUGGAAUCUAUGAGUGACAUACCCACUUAAAAAAAGAUUGUCUCGGGGCUGGCCCCGUGGCCGAGUGGUUAAGUUCGCGCGCUCCGCUGCAAGCGGCCCAGUGUUUCGUUGGUUCGAAUCCUGGGCGCGCACAUGGCACUGCUCAUCAAACCACGCUGAGGCAGCGUCCCACAUGCCACAACUAGAAGGACCCACAACGAAGAAUAUACAACUAUGUACUGGGGGGCUUUGGGGAGAAAAA
ensembl:lncRNA